rnacentral:misc_RNA from 1 species
GAAAUGCGAUAAGUAGUGUGAAUUGCAGAAUUCAGUGAAUCAUCGAAUCUUUGAACGCACAUUGCGCCCCUCGGUAUUCCGUGGGGCAUGCCUGUUCGAGCGUCAUCUACACCCUCAAGCUCUGCUUGGUGUUGGGCGUCUGUCCCGCCUCCUUCGCGCGCGGACUCGCCCCAAAUCCAUUGGCGGCGGCCCUUGCCCCCCUCUCGCGCAGCACAUUGCGCUUCUCGAGGCGCGGCGGACCGCGUCCAGCAAGCAACCAUCACACCGUCUUUGACCUCGGAUCAGGUAGGGAUACCCGCUGAACUUAAGC